GAGUGGCGAACGGGUGAGUAACACGUGGGAAACCUACCUCUUAGCAGGGGAUAACAUUUGGAAACAGAUGCUAAUACCGUAUAACAAUGACAACCGCAUGGUUGUUAUUUAAAAGAUGGUUCUGCUAUCACUAAGAGAUGGUCCCGCGGUGCAUUAGCUAGUUGGUAAGGUAAUGGCUUACCAAGGCGAUGAUGCAUAGCCGAGUUGAGAGACUGAUCGGCCACAAUGGGACUGAGACACGGCCCAUACUCCUACGGGAGGCAGCAGUAGGGAAUCUUCCACAAUGGGCGAAAGCCUGAUGGAGCAACGCCGCGUGUGUGAUGAAGGGUUUCGGCUCGUAAAACACUGUUGUAAGAGAAGAAUGACAUUGAGAGUAACUGUUCAAUGUGUGACGGUAUCUUACCAGAAAGGAACGGCUAAAUACGUGCCAGCAGCCGCGGUAAUACGUAUGUUCCAAGCGUUAUCCGGAUUUAUUGGGCGUAAAGCGAGCGCAGACGGUUAUUUAAGUCUGAAGUGAAAGCCCUCAGCUCAACUGAGGAAUUGCUUUGGAAACUGGAUGACUUGAGUGCAGUAGAGGAAAGUGGAACUCCAUGUGUAGCGGUGAAAUGCGUAGAUAUAUGGAAGAACACCAGUGGCGAAGGCGGCUUUCUGGACUGUAACUGACGUUGAGGCUCGAAAGUGUGGGUAGCAAACAGGAUUAGAUACCCUGGUAGUCCACACCGUAAACGAUGAGUGCUAGGUGUUUGAGGGUUUCCGCCCUUAAGUGCCGCAGCUAACGCAUUAAGCACUCCGCCUGGGGAGUACGACCGCAAGGUUGAAACUCAAAGGAAUUGACGGGGACCCGCACAAGCGGUGGAGCAUGUGGUUUAAUUCGAAGCAACGCGAAGAACCUUACCAGGUCUUGACAUCCCUUGACAACUCCAGAGAUGGAGCGUUCCCUUCGGGGACAAGGUGACAGGUGGUGCAUGGUUGUCGUCAGCUCGUGUCGUGAGAUGUUGGGUUAAGUCCCGCAACGAGCGCAACCCUUAUUACUAGUUGCCAGCAUUCAGUUGGGCACUCUAGUGAGACUGCCGGUGACAAACCGGAGGAAGGUGGGGAUGACGUCAAAUCAUCAUGCCCCUUAUGACCUGGGCUACACACGUGCUACAAUGGCGUAUACAACGAGUUGCCAACCCGCGAGGGUGAGCUAAUCUCUUAAAGUACGUCUCAGUUCGGAUUGUAGGCUGCAACUCGCCUACAUGAAGUCGGAAUCGCUAGUAAUCGCGGAUCAGCACGCCGCGGUGAAUACGUUCCCGGGUCUUGUACACACCGCCCGUCACACCAUGAGAGUUUGUAACACCCAAAGCCGGUGGGGUAACCUUCGGGAGCCAGCCGUCUAAGG
rnacentral:rRNA from 2 species